AUGGAUUACCAAGGAAACAAUCUUAGUGAUUUCUUUCAAGCUAAUGGGCAUUUGGUACUUAAAAGAGUGGACAACAACUACAAACUGCGGUCUUUCACUGAAAAGGAGAUAGAGCACAUUACAGACAGAUAUAGCACUUCGCUUGGUAGUGGCUCGUUCGGUGAUGUCUACAAAGGAAGAUUAGACGAUCAACGUCCAGUCGCAGUAAAGAGGUACAAAAAUGGAACCAAGAAAGAGGAGUUCGCCAAGGAGGUGAUAGUGCAUUCCCAGAUAAACCACAAGAAUGUUGUCAGAUUGUUAGGCUGCUGCACGGAGGAAAAUGCCCUUAUGAUUGUUAUGGAGUUUGUCUGUAAUGGAAACCUCUACAACAUCCUUCACUGUAGCAAUGCUGAUGGUCCUAUACUCUUCCCUUUGGACAAACGUUUGGACAUCGCUAUUGAAUCAGCUGAAGCACUAUCAUGCAUGCAUUCAAUGUACAGUCCUGUCCUUCAUGGUGAUAUUAAACCUGCCAAUAUACUGUUAGAUGAAAAGUACUUGCCAAAGCUAUCUGAUUUCGGAAUAGCAAGGCUGCUUUCUACUGAUGAGGCCCAGCGUACCAAAAUUGUUAUUGGUUGCAUAGGUUAUGUAGACCCUUUGUUUUGUCAGAGUGGGAUUCUAACUACAAAGAGUGAUGUAUACAGUUUUGGAGUUGUUCUAUUGGAAAUGAUUACCCGAAAGAAAGCGACGGACGGGACUACUAGUCUUACUCAAUGUUUCGCCGAGGCAAUGGGAAGUGGGAAGAAGGUGAGACAACUGUUUGAUGUGGAAAUUACCUAUGACAAGAAGAAGAUGAAAUUGAUCGAAGAAAUUGUGAAGCUAGCAGUUACAUGCUUGAGACUGGAUGAUAAAAUGCGUCCGACAAUGGUUGAGGUAGCAGAUAGACUUAGGAGGAUUAGAAAAGCUCUCCCGAAGCACAAGGGUGAAAGCUCUACAGGCCCCCCCUAUGCGGACAUCAAUAAUUGGCACAUAAGAAGAGGAAAUGCACAGGAUGUACCAACUAUUUCCCUUGAUGAAAUGAAGAAAAUAACAAGGAACUUCAGUAAUGGUGCUCUAAUAGGAGAGAGUUCGCAAGGCAGAGUUUUCUUCAAAGUGUUAAAAUAUGGACCGGAAUCUGCAUUCAACUCUUCUCAAGAAAUUGAUUUGAAGAUUGAAGCAAUUUCGAGACUGAAACACGAGAACGUUGUCCAACUUCUCGGAUGUUGGGUCGAAGGAGACGAAUAUGUUCUUGCAUAUGAGUAUACAUUGGGUGGCACCUUGCAUGAUAUCCUUCACAGCAAGGGUAAAAAGGGUGUCAGGGGAGCCAAGUCAAGGGCAGCUCUAUCAUGGAUGCAGCGAGUGAAGAUUGCCUUAAGUGCAGCAGAAGGGCUGGAGUUCCUCCAUCACAAGGCAGAGCCUCAGGUCACCCAUGGUAACAUCAUAUCCAGCAAGAUACUUCUCUUUGACAACGACAUCGCAAAGGUUGGCGACGCUGGUAUCUCCAAUGUGUUGGUCAGUGACAACAUGAGUAGAUGUCAUAGUUUUAGAUGUGGCCUUGACCUGGAUCGUAUGGAUGGUCAUGGUUAUCACGAGGAUGAUUACCAUGUCGAUUUAUAUUCUGCUACUGGACAGUGCAACACAAAGAGUGAUGUAUAUGCCUUCGGGGUUGUGCUGCUGGAACUUUUAACCGGUCGUAAGGCAGUUGAUCAUACACUACCCCGCGGCAGGCAGAGCCUCGUGACAUGGGUAUGCACCCUUGGCGAGAAGGGCCUAUGCACCCAUUGUGACAAGAACCCCUUUAUAUGGGCAUACAUCAAUUCUAUGGAAGAUAAUGUGUUGACAGAAACAAGUCUUAGUGAAGAUAAGGUGCAGCGAUGCGUGGAUCCAAGGCUUGAAGGAGAUUACCCUCACAAUGCUGUUACCAAGAUGGGUGCGAUCGCAGCGCUAUGUGUGCAUUAUAAUCCAGAUCUCCGACCAAACAUGAGCACUGUCGUCAAGGGUCUGAGACAAUUGCUGCACAGCGAGCCAUGUGACUUGGUGUCAUGA
rnacentral:rRNA from 1 species